rnacentral:rRNA from 1 species
GAUCAUGGCUCAGGACGAACGCUGGCGGCGUGCUUAACACAUGCAAGUCGAACGAGAAUCUGCGGAAAGAGGAUUCGUCCAAUUGAAGCAGAGGACAGUGGCGGACGGGUGAGUAACGCGUGAGGAACCUGCCUUUCAGAGGGGGACAACAGUUGGAAACGACUGCUAAUACCGCAUGACACAUUUGGGUCGCAUGGCCCUGAUGUCAAAGAUUUAUCGCUGAAAGAUGG